rnacentral:rRNA from 1 species
UGGGGGAUAUUGCACAAUGGGCGAAAGCCUGAUGCAGCGACGCCGCGUGGGGGAUGAAGGCUUUCGGGUUGUAAACCUCUUUCGCUAUCGAACAAGGCCCGCUUAGGGUGGGUUGAGGGUAGGUGGAGAAGAAGCGCCGGCUAACUACGUGCCAGCAGCCGCGGUAAUACGUAGGGCGCGAGCGUUGUCCGGAAUUAUUGGGCGUAAAGGGCUUGUAGGCGGCUUGUUGCGCCUGCUGUGAAAACGCGGGGCUUAACUUCGCGCGUGCAGUGGGUACGGGCGGGCUUGAGUGUGGUAGGGGUGACUGGAUUUCCAGGUGUGGCGGUGGAAUGCGCAGAUAUCUGGAGGAACACCGAUGGCGAAGGCAGGUCACUGGGCCAUACUGACGCUGAGGAGCGAAAGCAUGGGUAGCGAACAGG